UACGAGGGGGGCAAGCGUUGUUCGGAAUUAUUGGGCGUAAAGGGUGCGUAGGUGGUGAGGUAAGUCGGAUGUGAAAUCUCCGGGCUCAACCCGGAAAUGGCAUUGGAAACUACCUUGCUGGAGGAUUUGAGGGGGGAUUGGAAUACUUGGUGUAGCAGUGAAAUGCGCAGAUAUCGGGAGGAACACCGAUGGCGAAGGCAGCUUCCUGGCCCGUAUCUGACGCUGAGGUGCGAAAGCGUGGGGAGCAAACGGG
rnacentral:rRNA from 1 species